UCAAGCGAACAAGUGCAUGUGGUGGAUGCCUUGGCGAUCACAGGCGAUGAAGGACGCGGUAGCCUGCGAAAAGCCCCGGGGAGCUGGCAAACAAGCUUUGAUCCGGGGAUGUCCGAAUGGGGAAACCCACUCCUUAUGGAGUAUCCAUGACUGAAUACAUAGGUCAUGUGAAGCGAACGCGGUGAACUGAAACAUCUAAGUAACCGCAGGAAAAGAAAUCAACCGAGAUUCCCAAAGUAGUGGCGAGCGAAAUGGGAUGAGCCUUGUACUCUUUAUUUGUAUUGUUAGCCGAACGCUCUGGAAAGUGCGGCCAUAGCAGGUGAUAGCCCUGUAGGCGAAAACAGUAUGAAAGAACUAGGUGUACGACAAGUAGGGCGGGACACGUGAAAUCCUGUCUGAAGAUGGGGGGACCAUCCUCCAAGGCUAAAUACUCGUGAUCGACCGAUAGUGAACCAGUACCGUGAGGGAAAGGCGAAAAGAACCCCGGGAGGGGAGUGAAAUAGAUCCUGAAACCGCAUGCAUACAAACAGUCGGAGCCUCGUAAGGGGUGACGGCGUACCUUUUGUAUAAUGGGUCAGCGACUUACGUUCAGUAGCAAGCUUAACCGUAUAGGGCAGGCGUAGCGAAAGCGAGUCCGAAUAGGGCGUUCAGUUGCUGGGCGUAGACCCGAAACCAGGUGAUCUAUCCAUGGCCAGGAUGAAGGUGCGGUAACACGUACUGGAGGUCCGAACCCACUAACGUUGAAAAGUUAGGGGAUGAGCUGUGGAUAGGGGUGAAAGGCUAAACAAACCUGGAAAUAGCUGGUUCUCUCCGAAAACUAUUUAGGUAGUGCCUCGUGUCUCACCUUCGGGGGUAGAGCACUGUCAUGGUUGGGGGGUCUAUUGCAGAUUACCCCGCCAUAGCAAACUCCGAAUACCGAAGAGUGCAAUCACGGGAGACAGACAUCGGGUGCUAACGUCCGGUGUCAAGAGGGAAACAACCCAGACCGCCAGCUAAGGUCCCCAAAUAUGGCUAAGUGGGAAACGAAGUGGGAAGGCUAAAACAGUCAGGAGGUUGGCUUAGAAGCAGCCACCCUUUAAAGAAAGCGUAAUAGCUCACUGAUCGAGUCGUCCUGCGCGGAAGAUGUAACGGGGCUAAGCCAUAUACCGAAGCUGCGGAUGCGAGCUUGCUCGCAUGGUAGGAGAGCGUUCCGUAAGCCUGCGAAGGUGCCUUGUAAAGGGUGCUGGAGGUAUCGGAAGUGCGAAUGCUGACAUGAGUAGCGAUAAAGGGGGUGAAAGGCCCCCUCGCCGUAAGCCCAAGGUUUCCUACGCAACGUUCAUCGGCGUAGGGUGAGUCGGCCCCUAAGGCGAGGCAGAAAUGCGUAGCUGAUGGGAAGCAGGUCAAUAUUCCUGCACCGUCGUUAGAUGCGAUGGGGGGACGGAUCGCGGAAGGUUGUCCGGGUGUUGGACGUCCCGGUCGCUGCAUUGGAGAAGGCGCUUAGGCAAAUCCGGGCGCAGGAUUCAAGGGUGUGGCGCGAGCGACUUCGGUCGCGAAGCAAUUGGAAGUGGUUCCAAGAAAAGCCUCUAAGCUUCAGUCUAACGAUGACCGUACCGCAAACCGACACAGGUGGGCGAGAUGAGUAUUCUAAGGCGCUUGAGAGAACUCGGGAGAAGGAACUCGGCAAAUUGGUACCGUAACUUCGGGAUAAGGUACGCCCUUGUAGCUUGACCAGCCUGCGCUGGAAGGGUGAAGGGGUUGCAAUAAACUGGUGGCUGCGACUGUUUAAUAAAAACACAGCACUCUGCAAACACGAAAGUGGACGUAUAGGGUGUGACGCCUGCCCGGUGCCGGAAGAUUAAAUGAUGGGGUGCAAGCUCUUGAUUGAAGUCCCGGUAAACGGCGGCCGUAACUAUAACGGUCCUAAGGUAGCGAAAUUCCUUGUCGGGUAAGUUCCGACCUGCACGAAUGGCGUAACGAUGGCCACACUGUCUCCUCCCGAGACUCAGCGAAGUUGAAGUGUUUGUGAUGAUGCAAUCUACCCGCGGCUAGACGGAAAGACCCCAUGAACCUUUACUGUAGCUUUGCAUUGGACUUUGAACCGAUCUGUGUAGGAUAGGUGGGAGGCUAUGAAACCGGAACGCUAGUUUCGGUGGAGCCGUCCUUGAAAUACCACCCUGGUUUGUUUGAGGUUCUAACCUUGGUCCGUGAUCCGGAUCGGGGACAGUGCAUGGUAGGCAGUUUGACUGGGGCGGUCUCCUCCCAAAGGGUAACGGAGGAGUACGAAGGUACGCUAGGUACGGUCGGAAAUCGUGCUGAUAGUGCAAUGGCAUAAGCGUGCUUAACUGCGAGACCGACAAGUCGAGCAGGUGCGAAAGCAGGUCAUAGUGAUCCGGUGGUUCUGUAUGGAAGGGCCAUCGCUCAACGGAUAAAAGGUACUCUGGGGAUAACAGGCUGAUACCGCCCAAGAGUUCAUAUCGACGGCGGUGUUUGGCACCUCGAUGUCGGCUCAUCUCAUCCUGGGGCUGUAGCCGGUCCCAAGGGUAUGGCUGUUCGCCAUUUAAAGAGGUACGUGAGCUGGGUUUAAAACGUCGUGAGACAGUUUGGUCCCUAUCUGCCGUGGGCGUUGGAUAUUUGAAGGGGGCUGCUCCUAGUACGAGAGGACCGGAGUGGACGAACCUCUGGUGUACCGGUUGUGACGCCAGUCGCAUCGCCGGGUAGCUAUGUUCGGAAGAGAUAACCGCUGAAAGCAUCUAAGCGGGAAACUCGCCUUAAGAUGAGAUAUCCCUGGAGGCUUGACCUCCUUGAAGGGUCGUUCGAGACCAGGACGUUGAUAGGUCGGGUGUGUAAGCGCAGUAAUGCGUUCAGCUAACCGAUACUAAUUGCCCGUAAGGCUUGAUCCU
rnacentral:rRNA from 1 species